rnacentral:lncRNA from 1 species
UUAAAGUUUAGAUUUCAUAAACCAUCCUGAAUUUUUAACAAAUUUUGAUAGACAGAACUAGUCAAAAGAUAGUAUCUAGAGGAAAAUUAUAAAUAUUUUUUUUUCCUAUUUUUGUUGGGCCUGCGACUCACAGCAAAAGUAGGCGAGACACUGGGUUCUGCAAAACCCUUAAAAUUUUGAUAGCUGAAUACUCACUGAUUUUCUUAUUAGUAUUACCAUAACUUUUGAUCAGUUGACCAUAUUACAACAUUGUUUUAACAGUUAGUAAAUAGGUGUAAAAAUUCAUUUUAAAAUCAGUAAUUACUGGUAAUUACUGGGCAGUUCUAGGAAUUACUUGUAUUUACUAAGUGCAUCGGGAAUUACAUGUAAUUCCUAAAUUUUAGUAAUUACAUGUAAUUCCUAAUUUCACCUAUUUACUGUAACAUAUAUAUCAUAAA